rnacentral:rRNA from 1 species
UACAGAGGUCCCAAGCGUUGUUCGGAUUCACUGGGCGUAAAGGGUGCGUAGGCGGUCGGGUAAGUCUGGCGUGAAAUCUCCAAGCCUAACUUGGAAACUGCGUUGGAUACUAUCCGGCUCGAGGAAUGGAGGGGAGACUGGAAUACUUGGUGUAGCAGUGAAAUGCGUAGAUAUCAAGUGGAACACCAGUGGCGAAGGCGGCUUCCUGGCCUGUUCUUGACGCUGAGGCGCGAAAGCUAGGGUAGCAAACGGG